UCUCUCUCUCUCUCUCUCUCAGAACAACAUAUUCAAAUCUUUCUCUCUCUCUUAUUUAAAUUCUUUCUUCUUUGGAUAAAAAUCUCAGGCUCUUUGUCCUCUGAGUGUCCUCAACAGUAUUUUGAACAAAAAUUCUGCUUCUAGAAAUGGAAGCAAAUUCUGCUGAAGAGAAAUGGGAACAUUCUUGCUCUCAUAAAGAGGAGGAAGGAGAAGAAGAGGAGGAAGAAGAAGCAUUAUCUCUUUGCGAUUUACCAGUAAAUUUGAUCAAAGAAGAAAACCAAUCAAGUAAAGAAGCUGCUCAAGAAACUGAGGCCAGUCAAGAAGAUUUCGAUUUUGGACCCUGGGGUGGUUCUCUUUCUACAAGCUCAGAAAUCUGUGCAGCUGAUGAUAUAUUCUUUCAGGGCCAAAUUCUCCCAUUUCGACUCUCGGUUAGUUCUGAAACUGGUCUUAACAAGUUAAGGCAGGACACCAUGAACCCAAGCCGAUGCGUAUCGAGGUCAGAAUCCAUGGACCACGGUUCAAUAGGAGGGUUUACAAGUUUCAGUAGCAGAAGCAGUAGCAGUAGAAGCCAAUUCUCAUCAAGUAGGACCAGCGCAUUCAAUACCAGCAAAAUAAUUUCAAAGCCAAGAAUCCAAAAUCAGUUUCACACUCACCCAAGUCCCAAGCCUCAAAUUAGACUUUCCAGCAGCGCCUCACUGGGAAAUGCUGGCAGUAACAGGAACAGAAAAUCAACCGUAUGGGAUUUUUUAAAAUUGGGUUUGGUCCGUACACCAGAAAUUGAAUUGCAAGAUCUCAAGGUUCGUACAUCCGUUAGUAGAAACAGCAGUUCAAGUAGUUCUAACAGCAACUCCAGCGUCAGGAUUAGUAGUAACAAUAGAGGUAGAAUCAGUAACAGCAGCAGCAGCCAAGGAGAGAACACGGAGAAACAGAGAAAACAGAGUUUGUUGGAAAAAAGAUCAGGAGGGUUAUUAAGUGGGUGUAGUUGUACAGUUAAUGCAGUGAAACCAGUUCCAUUGAGCAUAAUCAUCAUUAAAAGAAGGAAUAGUACGGAAAAUAGCAAUAACGACAAAAGCAAAGAAAAAGAGAUAGCAGAGGAUAUGCUACAAGAAUUGGAGAUAAAGAACAAGAAGAAGAAGAAAAUGGUGGAAAAGCAGCAACAGCAGCAUCAGAAGAAGCAGGGAAAGCAAGCAAUGUCACGUCAUCGAACGUUUGAGUGGAUAAAGAAGCUUUCAAAUGCAAGCUUUCUUGUUGAUGAUGAGGAGGAGGGCCUAGACUUGUGAAUAAUGAACAAUCUCUUUGCAUGCUUUGUAUUCUUUUUUUAUUACCAUCAAUUUUUUGCUCUUCCCCCUUCCCCACCUUUUUUUUUCAUCUUUUAGGGUUCUCCCUUUUUCUCUUUAAUUUGAAUCAAGUAAUUGGAUAUUGUUAUAAUGUUAUAAGCACUGUUUUCCAGAACCAUAAGUCUUUCUUUAUCUUUCUUGACAUAUUGAGGUUUGUGGGUAUUUUUUAAAGUGAAUAUGUAUCUAGUAAAGUUAAAACUACUAAUUUAAGAUUCAGGCUUGGCUAUUAUACUGUGUUUUAGGAUUAGGAGUGUAAAGAUAAAGGCACCCGUGAUGGGUGGGAAUGAUGGAGGAGGUGGCAGUGGAGGUGGAGGUGGCUGUCAUGAUUAAAGUGUGAGAAUUCCUGCUCUAUGCAAUGUGGGGUGUGAAAAUGGCAGUUCGUGACUGCUGCCUCAAAAGAGAGAAAGCCGACAGGAACAAGUUGAAGAAAUGCAUUGAAGCUGGAAAAUAAUAAUUGGAAGCAAGGAAUUAUCCAAUCUUCAAGGAAUUAUCCAAUCUUUUCUUUUGAUGAAUUUAUGAUUAGCAAUUGAAGGAGGUGUGACAUUAAUUGCUUUUUGUGUCUCAUGUGCAUAAUACUCUUUCAUUAUCUGCUAAAAAAGUUGAACUGCUUAUUAGGAAUCCAAUAAUAGUUUCUGUUU
rnacentral:misc_RNA from 1 species